rnacentral:lncRNA from 1 species
GUAAUUCACGAACAGCCGGGAGCAGAAAAGAGCGGAGCGGCUCUGCAGUUGCAAAAGUUGUGCGCGUCUAAAUCCAGCCGGGUUCCGCGCGCCGGUCCCGGCCCCUCUCCCCCAUUUCAUUCGAGGUUCCUCCGCCGGGCAAUUCGGGGGACGAGGGGGACGAGGGGCUGCAGGUGGGAACAAGGGGGCAGGGAGGUGCGCCCGGGCUGCCGCGCAGUGCAAUCCUCCCCGCCAGCAAACGCGGCGCCCGGCCCCGGCACCCCGCGGGCCCCUCGAGGAGCACGCCGGGCGCAGCAAGCAGCCGAGGCGAAGAAAAGGGAAGUGUGGGGCUCGGAGACGGCUACGGAAGCCGAUCCCAAGGCCAGACUGCAAUUAGGCAGCCGCAAAAGCCCGGCCGCGAAGCUGCCCACCUGCUGCUGUCCCAGCUGGGGCGCAACUUCCUCCUCCCGGGCCGGGGCCGGACUCCCCGACCCGGCUCGGAGGGCGCAGGGGGAGGAAGCGGCGGCAGGUUCUCCUCGCUUGGCAGCGCCGCGGGUCGCGGGUGUAGCAUCCUCCCCUCCCUGCCGCGAUUCCCGGGGCCGGCCGUGCGGCCAGGCGCGCUGCGAUUGGCCGGCAGGGGCCGGGGGGCGGAGCCAGGCGGGCCGGUGUCUCAAAAGAGCCCAGGAUGUUGCAGAGCGCACUAGAGCCCUGGCCAGCGCACAGCCUUCCCCGGCGCCGGCAAGCUGGGUCUUGGGGAUUCUGGUUUGCUUUGGCUCACUCGCUUUUACAAACUCCUGGAUCUUACAUGCCUCUGUACCCCCCACUUCCACUCCAUGUCCCCAUGCUCCUGCGCCAGCAACAGGACACGUACCCUGGAUGUCAGCUGAGUUACUAAGGUAGCUCUGCAUGUCAGUAAACAGACCUUGGUAGAACCUCAAGGCUCCUGGAGACCCCCACCUCUCCUUAUUUUUGUGUGUGUGUGUCUUCACCGAACAUUCAAAACUGUUUCUCCAAAGGGUUUUGCAAAAACUCAGACUGUUUUCCAAAGCAGAAGCAC